rnacentral:lncRNA from 1 species
UUUUGGAAUUGGUUUCUCAGGGCUGGAAGGAAGAAAAACGAAGGGCUUAGCCUGACCAAGCAGCCCCCUGGGCCAGGUACGAUGCCGCGAUGAAUACAUCUCGUCCUCGGCACAAGGACAGGCCAUGUCUGAGGGAAUCAAGCCAGCCCCUGGGUUGGACAGAUGGAUACAGCUCUGCGCCUGCAGGUAGACACAGGGUCACUUGGGCCUGGUGCUCAGCAGGUGAGGAGUGUCUAAUAAGGGCUAGCUCUUGCAACAUUGAUUUCUGCUCUUGUUCACAGUGUGAGUCACCAUUACCCCAGUUCUCAGGAUGGUGCACUUGGAUGGGUAGAGAAGAGACAGUGAACGAACAGGUGCAGAACGGAACCUGCUCAUCAGUGAGGUGUGCAGGCCGCCUUCACGUUCAUGGACAGGGAACCCAGGCGUGGAGAGGCGUGACCACGGUCCCCAGGGAGACUGUCACACAGGUGAAGCCACUGGGCUGAGAUACUGGUCCUGGAAGCCCUCCCUGCUGUUGGCUCUAUUGUUGUUGUUUUUUUUUUAAAAUUUUUAUUUUUGUGGUGCUGGGGAUCAAACCCAGGGCUUUGUGCAUGUAAGGCACUCUACCAACUGAGCUGUAUCCCCAGCCCUUUAUUGGUUUUUAGUUAUAAAAAUAAUAUAUGCCCUGUGAAAAGUUAAAAUGAUACUGACAUAUGUCAACAGAAAAUGAAAGUUACCUUGAGUUUGACUUCCUACAAUAUACAAAUCUCCCUGAGCCCAUGAGAAUUUCCUCCCACACAUGAAGGUUGUAUUGUUGUAUGCCUCAAUGCAUAUUCAUUCUGAAGGGGACAAACUGUGACCCUGCUCUGCAGCCGCCCCCCCCACCAUCUUUUAAUACCAUCAUAUCAACUUCAUUUUAAUAAUGGUUUACAGUACCACAGUGCUCCAUUUACAUGGAAGAUGUAUAUGUAUAUAAUCUAUAGUAGAAUGCUUUAAAGUAUUUAUUUAAAUUAAAUUUACUAAAUUUAAAAUGUUCUUUAAUAUUUUUAAAUCUUUAUAUAAAUUUAAUAUUUAUUUAAAUGGGUAUAGAGUCACUAGAUAAGAGAAAAAAUUCCAGUGUUUUAUAGCCACAGUGGGGUAACUAUGGCCAACAAUUCAUUUUGUAUUUCAAAGUAUAUAGCAGAGAGGAUUUUCAAUGUUACAACAAAAAGAAAUGAUAAACGUUUGAAGUGACGUAUAUGCCAAUUAUCCUCAUCUGGUCCUUUGUAUACAUGUAUUGAAAUAUCACACUGUAUGCCAUAAAUAUGUACAAUUACUAUGUGUCAAUUAAAAAUAUAAAUUUUGAAUUCAGAUAGGAUGUCCAUAACACAUGAUCACUUUCCGUUUUGCCCAUUUUAAGUGGGCAGUGCCAUGGUAGUAAGUACACUCCCAGGUGUACCUUCACCGCCACCAUCCACCUACAGACUUUUUACGUGACAUGACAUUACAACAUUCCUCCCACAAAUACACCAAUCUUAAUGAUACCUCUGCACCUAAAAAUUACAGCAGUACUAAUUACCAUUCUAGGAUUCACAAUUGCUAUAGAACUAAAUCAACUCACCCUCAACCUAAAAACUAAAUUUUACUCCAAUAUAUCUAAAUUCUCAAACCUAUUAGGUUAUUUCCCAACCACUAUACAAUGUCUAUAUCCUCAUCUAAACCUUACCACAAACCAAAAAUUAGCGUCUGCCCUCCCAGACUUAACCUGAGUAGAAAAGAGAAUCCCAAAACUAACUGCUAAUCUCCAUACCACAGCUUCCACCACAACCUCAAAUCACAAAGGUCUAAUUAAAUUCUAUUUCUUAUCAUUUCUGCUCUCCAUUAUGCUAGCAAUAAUCAUCAUCGUGUCCUGUUCCCAUGAGUAAUUUCAAUCACAAUAAAAAUACUGACAGUGAUCAACCUGCUGCCACCAUUAAUCAGCUUCCCGAGCUCCAUAUUGCAGCCAACAAGACGUUGAAAAACUCUGCCCCCAUUAAACAGAAGUUCCUUAUUCCGCCUCUCUCCAGCUUCUG